AAUUGUUUCACCAUUACACUGUUAAUUCAAAAUGAUAGAGAGAUUAGAUUAGCAUUGCUCCUGAAGAUGGGGGAUACAUACAACUGGGAAGCAUUACAGGUUUUU